rnacentral:ncRNA from 1 species
AAAUCGAAACGGCAAACCUAUUAAAAAGUAGGGACGCAAAACUAUGGACCUAAGGAAGAUAAUUCUAUGGUCGCCAAGUUACCGAA